rnacentral:rRNA from 1 species
UACAGAGGUCUCAAGCGUUGUUCGGAUUCAUUGGGCGUAAAGGGUGCGUAGGUGGCGCUGUAAGUCAGGUGUGAAAUUUCGGAGCUUAACUCCGAAACUGCAUUUGAUACUGCGGUGCUUGAGGACUGGAGAGGAGAUUGGAAUUCACGGUGUAGCAGUGAAAUGCGUAGAUAUCGUGAGGAAGACCAGUGGCGAAGGCGGAUCUCUGGACAGUUCCUGACACUGAGGCACGAAGGCUAGGGGAGCAAACGGG